GACGCGGCCUGCAGGGGCUGGUGCAGCAGCUCAGUGCCACCAAGGCCGACCAGGCCGAGGACGCGCUGGACGAGCUCCACUACUUCAUGAUCCAAGACCAGCUCGACGGAACCCGGUACGCGGUGCCGGAUCUGGGUGAUCAUGCUCGCCACGGUCGCCAUGCUCUUCGCCACACCGUCAGUAACUGUCUUUCAUGCUUUUCUUGUUCGCCUAUGCACCAAGAUCAUGAUCAAGCUGCUGCUGCUGUUACCCAUAAAUCACGCAAUCCAACCAACUCUGCUAGUGCUAGUAGUGGAACUAAUGGACCAGCUGAUAAUUCGCCAUUCGACAGAGUGGCAAAUGUCCAAGAAAAUUAAGUUGGUCAU
rnacentral:lncRNA from 1 species